CAGCAGCCACGGUAACACGUAGGGGGCAAGCGUUAUCCGGAAUUACUGGGUGUAAAGGGAGCGUAGACGGUUAUACAAGUCUGAAGUGAAAUGCCGGGGCUCAACCCCGGAGCUGCUUUGGGAACUGUAGAACUGGAGUGUCGGAGGGGUAAGCGGAAUUCCCAGUGUAGCGGUGAAAUGCGUAGAUAUUGGGAGGAAUACCGGCGGCGAAGGCGGCUUACUGGACGACAACUGACGUUGGGGCUCGAAGGCGUGGGUAGCAAACAGGAUUAGAUACCCGCGUAGUCCCUGUCUCUUAUAC
rnacentral:rRNA from 1 species